rnacentral:rRNA from 1 species
CCGGCGACGCUGGCGGCGUGCCUAAUACAUGCAAGUCGAGCGGAUCGAUGGGAGCUUGCUCCCUGAGAUCAGCGGCGGACGGGUGAGUAACACGUGGGUAACCUGCCUGUAAGACUGGGAUAACUCCGGGAAACCGGGGCUAAUACCGGAUAACACCUACCCCCGCAUGGGGGAAGGUUGAAAGGUGGCUUCGGCUAUCACUUACAGAUGGACCCGCGGCGCAUUAGCUAGUUGGUGAGGUAAUGGCUCACCAAGGCGACGAUGCGUAGCCGACCUGAGAGGGUGAUCGGCCACACUGGGACUGAGACACGGCCCAGACUCCUACGGGAGGCAGCAGUAGGGAAUCUUCCGCAAUGGACGAAAGUCUGACGGAGCAACGCCGCGUGAGUGAAGAAGGUUUUCGGAUCGUAAAACUCUGUUGUUAGGGAAGAACAAGUGCCGUUCGAAUAGGGCGGCGCCUUGACGGUACCUAACCAGAAAGCCACGGCUAACUACGUGCCAGCAGCCGCGGUAAUACGUAGGUGGCAAGCGUUGUCCGGAAUUAUUGGGCGUAAAGCGCGCGCAGGUGGUUUCUUAAGUCUGAUGUGAAAGCCCACGGCUCAACCGUGGAGGGUCAUUGGAAACUGGGGAACUUGAGUGCAGAAGAGGAAAGUGAAUUCCAAGUGUAGCGGUGAAAUGCGUAGAUAUUUGGAGGAACACCAGUGGCGAAGGCGAU